ensembl:lncRNA
CUUGGUUUCCUUCCCCAGAUCUGUUUCCAAUGAGUCUGGUUGUAGAGAGUUUUCAUGGUUUGGCCGUGAAUCUCUUCCUUCUUUAACCUCUUGGUUAAGAUCCACUUCGACAGACUUCUGCCUCAAAACACCGUCGUUACUCGUUCCAUGUUGUACACCGUCCACCUUCCGCUCUUCUCUCUGGAACGUGUCCUCUGCUGUGGUGUCACAGAGUGCUGACAUGUCAUGGUCUGAAGGCUUCGCAUUCACGUGGCUUUGUGUUGAUUUUGUAUCACGCGCUCUCGACUCAUCCACCUCAAAUGCAUCUGUGUGUGGCGCUACUUCUCCAACAUGUGCUAUUUUGUGUUUUAAAUCGUGCGAGGGGCCGUGUUUGUAAUCUUCCAUUUGAAAUAAUUUCAUUUCUUCUCCUUUCCCCUCAUCUCUUCUCGCAGCCAGUUCACUUUCAAGACCUUUAAAUGAACGGAUGUCGCUCAGAACCACUCCUUGCGUUUGCACUGAUGUGUAUUUUAUCAGUGUGUUAUCUGUGUCUAUUACUCCAACCGACUCUUGUUUGAGGGGCGAUAGUUCUGCUUUGUUAUUCUCGCUAGAUCCUUCCUCUGUUGGACUUGAGGUUGAUGGCCUCAGUUCAGUGGAGAUCAGGUCCUUGGUCCACGCCUCCAUGCCUGGGUUCUCACUCUGAAUGCGUCGCUCUUUAUCUUGCGUAAUCGGUUCUAACCGGUGGUCAGGUGGUUGUGAAUACAACAAUGUGAGGUCCUUGGCUUCCAUCCCCAGAUCUGUUUCAAAUGAGUCUGGUUGGAGAGAGUUUUCAUUGUUUGGCGGUGAAUCUUCUUUGACCUCUUGGUUGAGAUCCACUUCAACACACUUAUGCCUCAAAGCACCGUCGUUACUCGUUCCAUGUAGUACACCAUCCACCUUUCUAUCUCUUCUUUGGAACGUGUCCUCUGUUCUGGUGUCACAGUGUGCUGACAUGUCAUGGUCUAAAGGCUUCGCAUUCACGUGGCUUCGUGUUGAUUUUGUAUCACACGCUCUCGACUCAUCCACCUCAAAUGCAUCUGUGUGCGGAGCUGCUUCUCCAUGAUGUGUUCCUUUGUGUUUUGAUGCGUGUGAGAGGCCGGUUUGUGAUCGUCCGUCUGAAACUGUUUGAUUCCUUUGCCGUCCCCAACGUCUCUUCCUGUACCUGUUUCAUCUUCAAGACCUUUUAAUGAUGGUUUGUCGCUCAAAACCUCUGGCUGUGUUUGCACUGAUGUGUAUUUUAUCAGUGUGUUAUCUGUGUCUAUUACCCACACGACUCCUGUUUGAGGGGCGAUAGUUUUGUGUCGUUAUUCUCGCUAGCUCGGUCCCCUGUUCUACUUGAG